GAAAACUCGCCCAAGCAAGUGAACAAAAACAACAAGUUCAAUGCAGGACAUGCAGAAAUUUGAACCUCAUGCAUCUGGCUGCAAACUGUCUGAAUACUGAAGCAACAAACAGCUAAAAGGCCACAAGUGAUUCAGAUGUGCUUGAUUUUUGCAGCAUUAAAUCUAGAUUUAGCUUGUAUUUGCUGCUGGUUGUGUCAGAAUAAUGAGUCUUCUGCUGUCAGUUUCUCUGCAAAAAGUCACUUUUUAUACUUGAUCGACGUCUGAACUGGAAGGAAAGCAGCUCUGUGUGUCUCUGGGCUGUUUUUUUCUUUUGUUUUCUGCAUCAGCAGCAGUUCUGGCAGCGUCUUCUGGCCCGUUUCGGUCCCAGUUUCAAUUCUGGUGCAAACCGGACUUCAGAAUGAAGCCGGUGUGAAGCAGCAGCAGCAGCAGCGUUUGGAGGCUGAGCGGCUGAUUUCAAACUGUAGGGUGCAGCAGUCGUCUUUCAAACGGGAACGAGACGGAGGCAGCAGCAGCAGGAUGGAGGUGGAGGAUCAGACCGAGGCCUCGACGCAACAUCCACGACCGAAACCGAGAGCAGGAGGAGGAGGAGGAGGAGGAGGAGGAGGAGGGCGAUGUGUAAUUACAGACUACACACCGACACCCCGAUGUGAUUUACAUUACUUGAUGUCACGGAAAAAAUAUUAGAUGAGGAUUGUUUUCGUCGGCAACAGGACCCAACACACACGUAUCUAACAAGCCACUUGACCACUUAAGUUGCGAUGAUUAUGCCAUUAACUGACGUGAACCUUCAGCCAACUCGCCGCGUCAUCGACCAAGCGGCCAAUCACGAGCCGGCGUCGACGACUGCUCAAUGAAAUCCUCUAUUUAUUUAUUUUUUUUUUUUUGCUGUUUGCUCCCCCUUAUUUCUUCUGCUGUUUUAUUAUCCUCGUGUGCAGAUAAAAUAAGAGCAUCCAGUUUCUUUGGAGAUCCAUAUGGUUCCAAUUUAUGUGCUCGGUAAUUCCCCCGAAUCUGUCAUUACACGAGGGUGGAGAGUCUCCUUAAGGUUUGACCACACGAUCGCUGCGAUGCUCCGCAUUCCUCACAGCAGAUGAUUGGAAUGCUUUAGGGUUAAAUGUACAGCAAGAGCACAGUUUCUGCACCGCUUAGAGCAAGCAAGAUGCACAAAAACCCUCAAAAAUCUCAUUCUGAAGAGAGAAUAUAGAGAAUUCUUGCAAAAUAAUGAGCUAUAAUUGAAUAAUUUCCAAACAGAAUCUGAGUAUCUGCUUGUAAAUGAGUGAUUUUGUUCUUGUUUUGUUUUUUUUUUUUUUAACUUCUGGCAGCAGCAUUUUGAGCCACAAUGCACGAAAGAAAUGACAAAAAUGAAAGUUUGUCAACAUUGAGGCUCUACAUCAUCUGUUUUCAAACUAUUUAGUUGCAGUCAAUUGAAAUAUCUUCAUUUUUCUGGGUUGAAUACGACCACAAUCACAUUCCACGGCUGCUUCCAAAGGAUUACAUGCCUGCUUACAAUUACAUGCAGGUAGACGCUAAUCUGUGCUAAUUUGCUCUCCAAGAAGGUGUUUCAGGCUCAUCUGAUUGGAGGCAGUUUAUCGGAUAUGAAUGAGCAAAGGUGCAAAGUUUAGGUGAGGAUGAGGGAAGGUUUGUGCCAAAUAUUGAAGCUGUUGAAGCAUCUCAGAGAAUAUUCAGAAGUUUGAUUGAUGUUGCACAAAGCUGAAACGUAUCUGUGUUUCAUAUUUAGCAACUCAGCAGGACAAGAAAAAGCAAUAAAUGUGCCGAAACAACAUAAAACUGAUGCUGAACCAAACAGUUAGAUAAAACACCUUCUACUGAUCAAUAUAUGGAAGCCCAGAGGUCACCAAAACAACGAAAAACACACGCAAAACACGAGAUUACAUUUAGAAAUAUCUGGUGUUCAACAGUUAUUAAGUGCCUGAAAAAAACACAGUUGCUGCCAAAAUCGCAUUAAAGAGAUUUUUCUUUGCAAUUGUUAUGAUUUAACUCCGUGAACUCAUAGUUUCUAAGUGUUUUUGUAACAUUUCUCCUCACUGUGGAUUCAUUUUUCACUGCAAUCUCUACAGAAACAGCAACCGUUUACCGUUUGCGUUACCGGUUUUUGGGUACAAAUUAAGAUUUUGUCUUAUCUUUGGAUUGUUGGAUUGAAAAGCCUCAACAAUUGUGACAUUCCUUUAAGGCAUCAAAUGUCAAAUUUUUGGAUUUGAAACUAUUAUUUUUAAUUAAAGCUUUUUUACUGCAAGUCGAGGUUUCUGAGGGAGUUUUUUUGGGUUUGCUUGACCAUAAAUGACCUGUUAAAUGUCAUUUUUUUUGCAUUUUUUUGAAAAUAACAGAAGGUUUUGGGAUUCAGAGGCUGUAAAGUAUCAUUUAACUGAGCUUAUUAAACUGAUUCAUGUGGAAAUUGUAGCACAAGUCAACAAAUGUGGAGUGUAUUUUUUUAAAUUCAGACACACGUUGCUCAGAAUGCCAAUUUUCAUAUGAAAAAACCCAGUUUCUAAAAAAAAAAAAAAAAACAAAAAAAAAACGUCUAAUUCUUGGCUUUGGUUUUUGCCUGUAUUGAUAGAAAACAGUGCAAAUGAAGGGAAGCAGAUGAAAGACAGCGGAGUCACUAGGGUGACCCCGUAUUUUGCAGAUUUCUUUUUGCACUAAGACACUGAUCACAGUAUUUUCCACCAAACAGGCUCCUCUGCAAUCAGCACAGCUCAUCAAAUAUGCUUCUAAUAAUAGAACGUGAAAAUGGAAGGAAAAAAAUGCAAAUUAAGGUGAUUAUUACGAGUCAUAUAAAUAAAUAAUGUGUGUUUGGGCUCCAAACGCAGCUUUAAAAAACCCUGUUUUCACCUGGAUUUGCGUGCUAUUGAUUGAUUUUUCUUCUGUUUUAGGGAAUAAACAGAGAAUUCAUGAAAAGACUGAUGGCUUCUUGUCGUACAUCACAUAUGGGAAAUGAAGUUCCUACUUGAUUGAAUGCUUUCAAUUUGAAGUCACGCCCGGACUUCCGUACCCGAAGGCCAGCAGCACAUAUGAGAACAUCCUUUUCCUGCCGGUUCUUACCUUUUAAUCUUCCUGCUGCCGAACCAGCGCCACCUGAAAAGAGACAAAAGGUGGAGUGUGUUUAAGGACACGAAGCGACACCAAUGUCCACAGCGGCUGUCACAUGAAGAAGACACAUUAGUAAAUAACAGCGGGUUGAUAACGGUGAAAAUGCACCAUCAAAUGUACUUCAUAAUGCUUUACGGCUGCCAUUCGCUGACAUUUAUAUAUCACUUUUUAGUGGCGGGCCAAUGAAACGCCGGCUUUGAAAUAAAGUCGGCCAUGAUUCAUGUC